rnacentral:rRNA from 1 species
AUUGAACGCUGGCGGCAGGCCUAACACAUGCAAGUCGAACGGUAACAGGAAACAGCUUGCUGUUUCGCUGACGAGUGGCAGACGGGUGAGUAAUGUCUGGGAAACUGCCUGAUGGAGGGGGAUAACUACUGGAAACGGUAGCUAAUACCGCAUAACGUCGCAAGACCAAAGAGGGGGACCCUCGGGCCUCUUGCCAUCGGAUGUGCCCAGAUGGGAUUAGCUUGUUGGUGGGGUAACGGCUCACCAAGGCGACGAUCCCUAGCUGGUCUGAGAGGAUGACCAGCCACACUGGAACUGAGACACGGUCCAGACUCCUACGGGAGGCAGCAGUGGGGAAUAUUGCACAAUGGGCGCAAGCCUGAUGCAGCCAUGCCGCGUGUAUGAAGAAGGCCUUCGGGUUGUAAAGUACUUUCAGCGGGGAGGAAGGGAGUAAAGUUAAUACCUUUGCUCAUUGACGUUACCCGCAGAAGAAGCACCGGCUAACUCCGUG